AAGCCUGGCAGCAGGCCUACACAUGCAAGUCGAGCGGAUGAGUGGAGCUUGCUCCAUGAUUCAGCGGCGGACGGGUGAGUAAUGCCUAGGAAUCUGCCUGGUAGUGGGGGACAACGUUUCGAAAGGAACGCUAAUACCGCAUACGUCCUACGGGAGAAAGCAGGGGACCUUCGGGCCUUGCGCUAUCAGAUGAGCCUAGGUCGGAUUAGCUAGUUGGUGAGGUAAUGGCUCACCAAGGCGACGAUCCGUAACUGGUCUGAGAGGAUGAUCAGUCACACUGGAACUGAGACACGGUCCAGACUCCUACGGGAGGCAGCAGUGGGGAAUAUUGGACAAUGGGCGAAAGCCUGAUCCAGCCAUGCCGCGUGUGUGAAGAAGGUCUUCGGAUUGUAAAGCACUUUAAGUUGGGAGGAAGGGCAUUAACCUAAUAUGUUAGUGUUUUGACAUUACAGACAGAAUAAGCACCGGCUAACUUCGUGCCCACCACCCGCGGUAAUACGAAGGGUGCAAGCCGUUUAUCGCAAUUACAGGACGUAAAACGCGCGUAGGUG
rnacentral:rRNA from 1 species